rnacentral:rRNA from 1 species
GGGAGGCAGCAGGGGGGAAUUUUGGACAAUGGGCGAAAGCCUGAUCCAGCAAUGCCGCGUGCAGGAUGAAGGCCUUCGGGUUGUAAACUGCUUUUGUACGGAACGAAAAAGCUUCUCCUAAUACUAGAGGCCCAUGACGGUACCGUAAGAAUAAGCACCGGCUAACUACGUGCCAGCAGCCGCGGUAAUACGUAGGGGGCGAGCGUUAAUCGGAAUUACUGGGCGUAAAGCGUGCGCAGGCGGUUAUGUAAGACAGAUGUGAAAUCCCCGGGCUCAACCUGGGAACUGCAUUUGUGACUGCAUGGCUAGAGUACGGUAGAGGGGGAUGGAAUUCCGCGUGUAGCAGUGAAAUGCGUAGAUAUGCGGAGGAACACCGAUGGCGAAGGCAAUCCCCUGGACCUGUACUGACGCUCAUGCACGAAAGCGUGGGGAGCAAACAGGAUUAGAUACCCUGGUAGUCCACGCCCUAAACGAUGUCAACUGGUUGUUGGGAAUUAGUUUUCUCAGUAACGAAGCUAACGCGUGAAGUUGACCGCCUGGGGAGUACGGCCGCAAGGUUGAAACUCAAAUGAAUUGACGG